rnacentral:rRNA from 1 species
UACGUAGGGUGCAAGCGUUAAUCGGAAUUACUGGGCGUAAAGCGUGCGCAGGCGGCUAUGCAAGACAGAUGUGAAAUCCCCGGGCUCAACCUGGGAACUGCAUUUGUGACUGCAUGGCUAGAGUACGGUAGAGGGGGAUGGAAUUCCGCGUGUAGCAGUGAAAUGCGUAGAUAUGCGGAGGAACACCGAUGGCGAAGGCAAUCCCCUGGGCCUGCACUGACGCUCAUGCACGAAAGCGUGGGGAGCAAACGGG